rnacentral:rRNA from 1 species
ACGGAGGGUGCAAGCGUUAAUCGGAAUUACUGGGCGUAAAGAGUGCGUAGGUGGUUGAUUAAGUUAUGUGUGAAAUCCCUGGGCUUAACCUGGGCAGGUCAUAUAAUACUGAUUGACUCGAGUAUGGGAGAGGGUAGUGGAAUUUCCGGUGUAGCGGUGAAAUGCGUAGAGAUCGGAAGGAACACCAGUGGCGAAGGCGGCUACCUGGCCUAAUACUGACACUGAGGCACGAAAGCGUGGGGAGCAAACAGG